rnacentral:rRNA from 1 species
GACGAACGCUGGCGGCGUGCCUAAUACAUGCAAGUCGAACGAGAGCGACCGGUGCUUGCACUGGUCAAUCUAGUGGCGAACGGGUGAGUAACACGUGGGUAACCUGCCCAUCAGAGGGGGUUAACAUCCGGAAACGGAUGCUAAAACCGCAUAGGUCUUCGAACCGCAUGGUUUGAAGAGGAAAAGAGGCGCAAGCUUCUGCUGAUGGAUGGACCCGCGGUGCAUUAGCUAGUUGGUGAGGUAACGGCUCACCAAGGCCGUGAUGCAUAGCCGACCUGAGAGGGUGAUCGGCCACAUUGGGACUGAGACACGGCCCAAACUCCUACGGGAGGCAGCAGUAGGGAAUCUUCCGCAAUGGACGCAAGUCUGACGGAGCAACGCCGCGUGAGUGAAGAAGGUUUUCGGAUCGUAAAACUCUGUUGUUAGAGAAGAACAAGUGCUAGAGUAACUGUUAGCGCCUUGACGGUAUCUAACCAGAAAGCCACGGCUAACUACGUG